GGAGGGAAUCUUGCGCAAUGGGCGAAAGCCUGACGCAGCGACGCCGCGUGGGGGAUGAAUGCCUUAGGGUUGUAAACCCCUUUCACGAGGGAAGAAACUGACGGUACCUCGAGAAGAAGCCCCGGCCAACUACGUGCCAGCAGCCGCGGUAAUACGCAGGCACCAAGCGUUAUCCGGAUUUAUUGGGCGUAAAGAGCUCGUAGGCGGUUCGGUAAGUCGGGUGUGAAAAUCCAAGGCUCAACCUUGGGACGCCACCCGAUACUGCUGUGACUCGAGUGCAGUAGGGGAGCAGGGAAUUCCUGGUGUAGCGGUGAAAUGCGCAGAUAUCAGGAGGAACACCAGUGGCGAAGGCGCUGCUCUGGGCUGUAACUGACGCUGAGGAGCGAAAGCGUGGGUAGCAAACAGGAUUAGAAACCCUGGUAGUCC
rnacentral:rRNA from 1 species